AGAAACUUAGAUUGAAAUUUUGGGAGAGUUGAAAGGCGAAAAAAAUAAAUUUGAAACACUGUUGGCGGCUGUCAAAAUUGCAGGUACUGACAUCAAUUAACAUUACAGUAGCACUUUUGAGUACUAUUUUGGGGGUACAGUAGCAUACAUGGGAAGACUAUAUGGUGAACUAUUUAUGUUGUUUAGAAUUGAAUAAAACAGUAGCUUGCAUUUUUUUAUUAAUGAAUAGAAAGGUACCUUUAGGUAAGACUAAUACAGCAUAUUGAAUUAUGUAGGAAGAAUGCACAAAGUUCACAUAGAAAAUUCCCAUAGAACAGUUAGUGUGCAUUGUGCAACCUACUCGGAAAACCAACAGAUAAUAAUCUGAAAAAGGGGUUCAAGAUGACAUCUCCGUGAUGAGAAGUUUAUUCUAGCGCUUGCCAAUAUAAACUUAAUAUGUUGGAUGAAUUUUUAGUGAGAUCUAGAUUUUUUUUUUUUCUUAUUUGUAAUUCAUGGGUUAAGGUGUGGGAUAUUAAGACUUGGUCGUAAACUUAAAAGUUAAGGAUAUUGAGACAUGAUCCCAAAUAGCAUAAUUGAUGUUGUUAUUUAAUAUUUUAUUUAGAUUGAUCCCAUUGGUCGUUGUUGGUUGAUGUUCUACACAUUGCAAGGUUGGGAAAUUUGUUAUUAGCGAGCUUGGUAGAAUUGUUCGUAUUUGACUGGCAGUGGAUAGAUAAUUUGUGAGGUGUCGUGAGAAUUACUCAGUGGUGAUAUGUGAGGUGAUGUUGGGGCGUUGAAUAUAUUUUCUUCAUUGCCGUUAGUCUCUAGGGGCAUACAUAGCUGCCGUAAUAUGUUAGGGGCAUUAUUUAUGCUGCCGUAAUAUGUUAGGGGCUUGUGCAUGCUGCCAUAGUAGACUUUUGGGGCAUUAUAUAUGCUGCCGUGGACUUGUUGGGGUGCUAGGUUGAUCACCUUCAAUGCCGUUUAUGAUAAGUCGUCAGAGUAGAUUGAGUUGAGUUACAGAGUGGUUUUUGAACUUUCGUUUGCAUCUUGUUGAGCAUUACCUUAUAAGAGACAUUGUGUGCAUAUAAUUUAUGUAUUCUGGUUGUGCCUUGUAUUUUCUAACACUUGUUCCAGGGGUAUUAAAUUAGCGAGGUUCAGGAAUCUUACUGAGUUAUAUUUAUAUAUAUAGCUCACUCCUUACUUGCAUAUCUGCAGAUACGGUUGCAGAGAAAGAGACUUGUGGCUGACGGUCAUUACGUGUGGAUUCUGUUGCUAAGGUGAGCCUUCGCAUUGUUCCUGGAGGCUGUCAUCAAGCUUUAGUCAUUUUUAGCUUAUAUUUCUUUUCGUUGGAUUUGCA
rnacentral:lncRNA from 1 species